rnacentral:rRNA from 1 species
AGCAGCCGCGGUAAUUCCAGCUCCAAUAGCGUAUAUUAAAGUUGUUGCAGUUAAAAAGCCCGUAGUUGAAUUUCGGGAUCAAUCUGCCGGUCGUGCCUCCGGUAUGCACUGGUUUUAUUGGUUUCUCCCUUCUGACGAAUCAUGAUGUCAUUAAUUUGGUGUCAUGGGGAAUCAGGACUGUUACUUUGAAAAAAUUAGAGUGUUUAAAGCAGGCUCACGCUUGAAUACAUUAGCAUGGAAUAAUGAAAUAGGACGUUUGACCCUAUUUUGUUGGUUUCUAGGAUCGACGUAAUGAUUAAUAGGGAUAGUUGGGGGCAUUAGUAUUCAAUUGUCAGAGGUGAAAUUCUUGGAUUUAUUGAAGACUAACUACUGCGAAAGCAUUUGCCAAGGAUGUUUUCAUUAAUCAAGAACGAAAGUUAGGGGAUCGAAGACGAUCAGAUACCGUCGUAGUCUUAACCAUAAACUAUGCCGACUAGGGAUCGGAUGAUGUUAUUUUUUAAUGACUCAUUCGGCACCUUAC